rnacentral:lncRNA from 1 species
AGCCGACCUCCUCGCCCCGCCCCCUCCGUCCCGCCCGGGCUGCUCGCCCCGCCCCCGCGCGGCGCUGGGAGGCGGGAGCUGUCUCUGAGAACCUGCGGGAGAGCGCCCGGGCUUGCUGCUUCCCGGACCCGCGCGUCUCUCGAGCACCCUCGUCCCACCACCUUGUGAGGCCGUAGUGUUAUUUUUAUUUUUUAGAUCAGCAGACUGAGACUCGAGGUGACGUCACUCCGCAGAGAGAAUGUCUGCAUUGGAAUCGCCUCACCUCCUUUUACCGCUGGAGAAGCCGACGGACAGACGGGCAGCGACCCCCGCCGUCGCACAACCCGUCUAGGCAGAGAGCGCAGGAGACGGGAGGGCGGCAGGGACACAUCUCCCAGCCAAGGACCUCCUGGGCCCGCAGAGGCCGCGACAGGUUCCCCCCACAGAGGGAACCAACUCUGCCGCAGGUUGAUGUGGACUUCAAGCCUGCAGAACGGAGAGCCCAUUUCCAUUGCUUAAAGCCACCUCGUGUGUGGUAUUUGUUAUGGUCCCUGUACACUCCCUUCCCUCCCUCUCCCAAGUCCAGUCCGCAGCUCGCUCAUCACCAGGCUCUUUUCCAUGACUCUUUCUUGAUCAGGCCUUUUUAUCGUCCUCACCACAGGUUAGAGCACAGCAGACUGAGCCACCCAGAACUGGCCCCUCCGGUGGACCAGCCCCUGCGGAUUCACAGACCACUGGUCCUGGAAGGGACCUUGUCAAGCAGGCCCAUAAGACUUCAUUAUCAUGGUUGCCUGACCCAACACAACAUAUUUGGAGGAGGAGAGGGGACACUUUUAUUGUACCCCAUCACGUGGCUGAGUCAUUUGGCUCUCCAUUCACUGGAACAGACGACUAUGGACACCACCAUUGGGUUUCCCACCAAGGACAGAGUUCCAAAGCAACAGUGGCUUCCAUGGUUGGCUCACCCAGCCUGCCUGAGUCAUCAGCUAGGUCCACAGAGUAGAGAAGUGGGUAGUGCCCCCGCCUAACAUCUGGAAAAAUUCCCAAAAGUUGUGACUUCAUGACCACUGAGUCAGCAGCAACUCUUUUCUUGCCAAGAAUAGCACAUUGUUCUUUUCCUUUUCAGGUAAUCCCUCCCCGGAAAGAGAAGAUCACAGAUUUUGUCAUAUUAAAUACAUUGUAGAAAUUCAUGGUAGCAGGGGCAAGAUCAUUUAAACAAAACAGAAAGUUUCAGAGAGAGAAAAAGCCAAGGACAAAGAUUAAUCAUUUUUCUGCUUAAAAAAAAUGGCUUUGAUUUGCAACCAUGGAAUGCUCCACUGUUUCUCUUCUCUUCAAAGACAUCUACUGAAAGGAUUCCUUAACCUUACCAAGUGGCCAAAAUACUUUUCUGAGAAGAGUCACAGAGCAUAGGCCCCCCUAGGGUACACAGAGAUUUCAUUAGUCCCUAGAUGUUUCCUGAUCCUUUUAAAAACUGGUUAAAUUCAGAGACUCUAGGCAAUUACUUCUUUCAGAACCUGUGAGGCAAAAACGAAAGAAGAAGGCAGGACACGCAGUGUAACAAACCUUGGAAUGGACUUCGCCAGACUUCAUCAGAAGAAAGCAGUGCAAGAGGGGACUGCAGAGGAAAGCUGGGGCUUGGGAAACCAGCAGCAGGGGCCACGUGGGCAGGUGGUUUCUGUGUGAACCUCUGAUCUGUGCAACAUAAACAGGAAAUGUUGAAGGCUUCCAGUGCUCUUUUUUGAUGUCGAGAACAUUCUACGGCACAAAAGAGUUUGCCUCUCACUGUUUCUCAUAUAUGGAGGUUUUCUAAUCAGCAUCCUGAACAGAAUUGAAUUAAAAAUAAAAACCAAAGUAAAACUA